UGAAAAGUUCUAACAUCCUUAUUAGAACAAUUUGCAAUUAAAGUUACAGUAAUUGAAGACAUCACCACUCUCAAGCUGGAUGAGCUGAUGAGUUCUACAGGAGGCUAAGGUAACAAGUUACAACGGAAAAAGAACAUAGCUCUCAAUGUUCAGCAGGUUGUUCUAACUGAAAAGCAAAAUGGUGAGGUCAUGGAUGAAAUAAAGGAAUAAAUAACAUUACUCUCAAAGAACUUCAACAAAGCCCGAGACCAAAUAGUAGUUUGGAUCCAGUGGCAACAAUAAGAAAAUGCAACCAAAGAGGAAAUAAGAAUGUAUCAACACCAAAAGAAAGCAGAAAUCUCUGGUAGUGACAAGGAAUGAUGAAGAAACUGAAGGAGAUUAUUUCGACUCCAAUGAGGAAAUAAGCAAUUAUGUUGCUUUGAUUGCAGCUGCUCCAGUUGAAG
rnacentral:lncRNA from 1 species